rnacentral:lncRNA from 10 species
AUGGGAGCUAAAUGAUGAGAACCUACAAACACGAAGAAGGAAAGGACAGACACUGGAGUCUACUUGCCAGGGGAGGCCAGGAGGAGGCAGAGGAUCAGAAAAGGAAGAAGAUUUAAAGCUAAAGAUAAUAAAAUGAACUAUUCUGGAAAAUGUAGCUAUUGAAUAAUUCAACUACAAUUUGGGACAUGUAUUCAUGUGGAAUUUUACUUACACAGUUUGGUAAGACUUCUAUUUAAAGAAAGAAGACGUUUUGGAAGUCCACACCAUUGAACUAAAUCACUAUAUACGACUCAGCACUGGGAUUUGGAUGGAGGCUAAGACUGGCUUGGGGGAAUCAAUCCCAAUUCUAGGAAGCUUUUCCUGGCUUAAUCAGGUCAAGUCCACCCGCUGAAGUGAUUUCACCUCUUUCUGACCAGGAGUAACCUAAUGCUAAACUAAACAUGCCAGAGAUGCUCCAAAAUGGAAUAGAUCCAUUACAGUCUUAAUUCAGAGCUUUUCUCCUUAUGUCAAGGGCAAAAACGGGUUUGUUUGUUUUUUUAAAAAAAGGAACUACUUUUCUUACGUUUCAGGGACUUAAAAUUUUUCAACCUAAUGUAUUCCAUUCUCAGGGUUCACAAUAAACCCCAUUUUGCAAUUUCUUCUAUCCAGAAUAUGCUAUCUGGCCUACACACUUUAGUGCUUUAUAG